rnacentral:rRNA from 1 species
UACGUAGGGUGCAAGCGUUAAUCGGAAUUACUGGGCGUAAAGCGUGCGCAGGCGGUUAUAUAAGACAGUUGUGAAAUCCCCGGGCUCAACCUGGGAACUGCAUCUGUGACUGUAUAGCUAGAGUACGGUAGAGGGGAUGGAAUUCCGCGUGUAGCAGUGAAAUGCGUAGAUAUGCGGAGGAACACCGAUGGCGAAGGCAAUCCCUGGACCUGUACUGACGCUCAUGCACGAAAGCGUGGGAGCAACAGG